AACAGGAUUAGAUACCCUGGUAGUCCACCCCGUAAACGUUGGGAACUAGUUGUGGGGACCAUUCCACGGUUUCCGUGACGCAGCUAACGCAUUAAGUUCCCCGCCUGGGGAGUACGGCCGCAAGGCUAAAACUCAAAGGAAUUGACGGGGACCCGCACAAGCGGCGGAGCAUGCGGAUUAAUUCGAUGCAACGCGAAGAACCUUACCAAGGCUUGACAUAUACGAGAACGGGCCAGAAAUGGUCAACUCUUUGGACACUCGUAAACAGGUGGUGCAUGGUUGUCGUCAGCUCGUGUCGUGAGAUGUUGGGUUAAGUCCCGCAACGAGCGCAACCCUCGUUCUAUGUUGCCAGCACGUAAUGGUGGGAACUCAUGGGAUACUGCCGGGGUCAACUCGGAGGAAGGUGGGGAUGACGUCAAAUCAUCAUGCCCCUUAUGUCUUGGGCUUCACGCAUGCUACAAUGGCCGGUACAAAGGGCUGCAAUACCGUGAGGUGGAGCGAAUCCCAAAAAGCCGGUCCCAGUUCGGAUUGAGGUCUGCAACUCGACCUCAUGAAGUCGGAGUCGCUAGUAAUCGCAGAUCAGCAACGCUGCGGUGAAUACGUUCCCGGGUCUUGUACACACCGCCCGUCAAGUCAUGAAAGUCGGUAACACCUGAAGCCGGUGGCCCAACCCUUGUGGAGGGAGCCGUCGAAGGUGGGAUCGGUAAUUAGGACUAAGUCGUAACAAGGUAACC
rnacentral:rRNA from 1 species